rnacentral:tRNA from 1 species
AAAGAGUUAAGUUAUUGCAGACUAUGGUAUUUCAAGUACUAAAGAGGGGUGUCUCACUCUUUG